GAUUGGUUUGAAGAAAUGCCAAUAAAACCAGAGAAGGUUUUUGUGUGGAAUGCUGUGCAGACUAACCAGACCUUCCUCGCAGCGCUGAGGAGGAAGGUCUGGAUUGUGAGACUAGCACAGGAACUGAAAGAUCUCUA